rnacentral:rRNA from 1 species
UACGAAGGGGGCCAGCGUUGUUCGGAAUUACUGGGCGUAAAGGGCGCGUAGGCGCCUCGUCCGUCCGGCGUGAAAUGCCUGGGCUCAACCUAGGAAUUGCGCUCGAUACAGCGAGGCUAGAGUGUGGGAGAGGUUGGUGGAAUUCCCAGUGUAGAGGUGAAAUUCGUAGAUAUUGGGAAGAACACCGGUGGCGAAGGCGGCCAACUGGACCACAACUGACGCUGAGGCGCGAAAGCGUGGGGAGCAAACAGG